rnacentral:rRNA from 1 species
GCUAGCGAUCCGCCAAAGUUCCUCCGAUGACUUGGUGGGCAGCUUCCGGGAAACCAAAGCAUUUGGGUUCCGGGGGAAGUAUGGUUGCAAAGCUGAAACUUAAAGGAAUUGACGGAAGGGCACCACCAGGAGUGGAGCCUGCGGCUUAAUUUGACUCAACACGGGAAACCUCACCAGGCCCGGACACCGGAAGGAUUGACAGAUUGAGAGCUCUUUCUUGAUUCGGUGGGUGGUGGUGCAUGGCCGUUCUUAGUUGGUGGAGCGAUUUGUCUGGUUAAUUCCGAUAACGAACGAGACUCUAGCCUACUAAAUAGACGUACUUUAUUACCGGCAUCUCAAGGCCCAUCGGCUGUAUUGUUACUGGAAUGUUAUUUGUAUAUUUUGUUAAUAUCUAUAUAUCUAUUAUAUGUAUGAUUGAAUAAUAUGUGUAUAUUAUUUUGUGUGUAUUAUUUUAUAAUCUCACUUAAUUAAAAUUAU